ACGAUUUCCCGUCCGAUCAAUCAUAGUUAAGCCAGUGAGAGCCUUCAUAAGUACUACGGUGGGAGACCACGUGGGAACAUAAGGUGCUGCAGUCU
rnacentral:rRNA from 1 species